rnacentral:rRNA from 1 species
UACGGGGGGGCAAGCGUUGUUCGGAAUUACUGGGCGUAAAGGGCUCGUAGGGCGGCCAACUAAGUCGGAUGUGAAAUCCCCAAAGCGUUAACUUGGGAACUGCAUCCGAUACUGGAUGGCUUGAAUCCGGGAGAGGGAUGCAGAAUUCCGAGGUGUAGCGGUGAAAUGCGUAGAUAUCAGGAGGAACACCGAUGGCGAAGGCAGGUCUCCUGGGCCACUACUGACGCUGAGAAGCGAAAGCAUGGGGAGCGAACAGG